GACGAACGCUGGCGGCGUGCCUAACACAUGCAAGUCGAACGGGGUAGAUUCCUUCGGGGAUCUACUUAGUGGCGAACGGGUGAGUAACGCGUGAGAAACCUGCCUCUCAGUGGGGGACAACAGUUGGAAACGACUGCUAAUACCGCAUAACACUUUAGUACCGCAUGGUACAGAAGUCAAAGCUUAAUGUGCUGAGAGAUGGUCUCGCGUCUGAUUAGCUAGAUGGCGGGGUAACGGCCCACCAUGGCGACGAUCAGUAGCCGGUCUGAGAGGAUGAACGGCCACAUUGGGACUGAGAUACGGCCCAGACUCCUACGGGAGGCAGCAGUGGGGAAUAUUGGGCAAUGGGGGAAACCCUGACCCAGCAACGUCCGCGUCGAAGGAAGAA
rnacentral:rRNA from 1 species